rnacentral:rRNA from 1 species
AUGGAGAGUUUGAUCCUGGCUCAGGACGAACGCUGGCGGCGUGCCUAACCCAUGCAAGUCGAACGAAGCUUGAUGAAUGAUUUCUUCGGAAUGAAUUCUGAUAUGACUGAGUGGCGGACGGGUGAGUAACGCGUGGGUAACCUGCCUCAUACUGGGGGAUAACAGUGGGAAACUACUGCUAACACCGCAUAACAUAACGGAGCUGCAUGACUCUGUUAUCAAAAAUUUAUUGGUAUGAGAUGGGC